rnacentral:rRNA from 1 species
GACGAACGCUGGCGGCGUGCUUAACACAUGCGAGUCGAACGGAAAGGCCUUUUCGGAGGUACUCGAGUGGCGAACGGGUGAGUAACACGUGGGUGAUCUGCCCUGCACUCUGGGAUAAGCCUGGGAAACUGGGUCUAAUACCGGAUAGGACCGCACUUUAGUGUGUGUGGUGGAAAGUUUUUUCGGUGUAGGAUGAGCCCGCGGCCUAUCAGCUUGUUGGUGGGGUAAUGGCCUACCAAGGCGGCGACGGGUAGCCGGACUGAGAGGUUGGUCGGCCACAUUGGGACUGAGAUACGGCCCAGACUCCUACGGGAGGCAGCAGUGGGGAAUAUUGCACAAUGGGCGCAAGCCUGAUGCAGCGACGCCGCGUGGGGGAUGACGGCCUUCGGGUUGUAAACUCCUUUCGCCAGGGACGAAGCGUUUUGUGACGGUACCUGGAGAAGAAGCACCGGCUAACUACGU